rnacentral:lncRNA from 1 species
AGAUUACUGAAAAAAUUUCAGAUUUAUGGCUUUGUAUCAAAAGGAAAGAACAGUUUGGUACUAAGCUGAAAUCUUUUGAAUUAUGAAGAAUUAAAAGGAAAACAGAGAUUAGGAAUUCUGUAGGAAGAGGUUAGAACACUUGCCUUAGAUGAGUUUGAUUCCCAAAUAUAGGGAGUUGAUGCAAAACCUCAAACAAAGUUUCCUCUUCUUCUUCUCCUUCUUCUUCUUCUUCUCUUCUUCUUCUUCUCCUCAAACUAACGUUGGCUGAAAAGUUUCUUUUUAAUGGUGCCUUAAAUUACUUAGGUUUGGCUCAUGCUAAAAUAGUGAGGUGGCAAGCAUGCAUGGG